UACGGGGGGGAGCAAGCGUUGUUCGGAUUCAUUGGGCGUAAAGGGUGCGUAGGCGGCGCGGUAAGUCGGGUGUGAAAUCUCGGAGCUUAACUCCGAAACUGCAUUCGAUACUGCCGUGCUUGAGGACUGGAGAGGAGACUGGAAUUACGGUGUAGCGGUGAAAUGCGUAGAUAUCGUAAGGAAGACCAGUGGCGAAGGCGGGUCUCUGGACAGUUCCUGACGUGAGCACGAAGUCAGGGGAGCAAACGGG
rnacentral:rRNA from 1 species